rnacentral:lncRNA from 1 species
UGGACACUACAAAAUACCCUCCUUACGACUCAUUAGGAGUCUAUACGACUCGUUAAGUAUAGUCGUUAUCAAGGCAGUGUCUUAGGCAAAUCCCUCUAGGUCAUACGACUAGGUCUUAUGACCUGUAAAGACACAUAAUGACUCAUCAGGUGAGUUAAAGUCAGGACAGUGGGGAUAAAAUUCAAGAAAUUUUCAAUGACCAAAAACCCAGGGCGUUACAAUGCCCUAGAGACACCACGG